UAGAGGCGAUGUGUUCUUUUUGAUGAUUUUGUUUUGCGACAUUGUAUCCAUGUAAAAUCUCCAGGGUAAGGAAAAUGAUGACAGACUCGUUGUAUUUCAUGUGUCAUACUUAAGAUAAACUUUUGAGUGUCAGUUGUGUUUUGUAAGACCUGCUAGCAACCACCUCUAUUUCUUGUCUCCUUUGCCUGUUUCUUAUUUUUACACAGUUUAGUUCAUUCAGCUAGGCUUUAUUCCCAAACCAUAAACUUUAAGGGCUGAAAUAUCAAAAUGUGUGUUCUCCUAUGCCUGGAGAAGCCAUUAUUUCCUGCUGCCUCAUUUCAGUUUGUAUCAUCCAGGAAUACAAACUAAGUUGAGGUAGCUCUUUUUUUUUUUUUUUUGCCUCCAGGGUUAUUGCUGGGGCUCGGUGCUUGCACUACAAAUCUACUGUUCCUGGAAGUUCUCCCACCCCCCUUUUGUUGCCCUUGGUGUUUCUUACUGUUGUUGUUAUUGCUGUCCUUGUUGUUGCAUAGGACAGAGAGAAAUAGAAAGAGGAAGGGAAGACAGAAGGGGAGAGAAAGAUAGACACCUGCAGACCUACUUCGCCACUUGUGAAGCAACCCUACUGUGAAGGGGCCAAGAAGAGGCAAGGUAGUGGUGCUUUGCCACCCAUGGAGUUGUCCCAUUAUGCCAUGCAUGAUGUUCCAUGUGUUAAGAAGACCCUAGAGCCUGGAAGGUUAUAUGUUCUAUCAGCCACCAGGUUCCAGAUGCUAGUAGAAUGCGGACCAGACUUCCUUGGACAGACAACCCCACCAAUGUGUCCUGGAGCUCCGAUUCCCCAGAGCCCUACCCCACUAGGGAAAGAGAGAGAGAGACAGGCUGGGAGUAUGGAUCAACCUGUCAAUGCCCAUGUUCAGCAGGGAAGCAAUUACAGAAGCCAGACCUUCCACCUUCUGCAUCCCACAGUGACCUUGGGUCCAUAUUCCCAGAGGGUUGAAGAAUGGGAAAGCUAUCAGGAGAGGGGAUGGGAUACAGAGUUCUGGUGGUGGGAAUUGUGUGGAGUUGUACCCCUCUUAUCUUAUGGUUUUGUCAACUUUUCCUUUUCAUAAAUAAAUAAAUGAAAUUUUUUCUUUCUCCUUUCUUUCUUUUUUUUUUUUUUUUUUUUUUGUCUGCAGGGUUUUCGCUGAGACUUUGUGUCUGCACCGUUAAUCCUCUGCUCCUAUAGCCAUGUUUUCAAUUUUUUUUUCUUGGCCAGAACAGAGAGAAAUUGAGAGGGAAGGGGAAGAUAAAGAGGGAGACAGAAAGAUAAACACCUGCUUCAGUGUUUGUGAAACAACCCCUCCAUCCCCACAGGUGGAAGGCCGGAGGCUCAAACUGGGAUCCUUGUGUGAGUCCUUGUUCUUUGUACUAUGUGCACUUAACCAGGUGCACCACCACCAGGCCCCCAUCGCUCAAGUUGUUUGACCCAGUUCUUUCAGCUGAUUUACAGAGGUCAAGGAGUGAUUCUGUUAUCAAGAGACAUUACCACUGCCAACUUUGCUUUUACCACAAUAGCAUAUACUAAGCAUCAAGUCAUUGGGGAAAAAAGAGAGAGAG